ensembl:lncRNA
GGGGUGUCCAGGGGGUCUCCCCCUUUUGACUAGCAGACAGGUCCAGCACUGGAGUCAUCCAGAAGGAACUAGAGGUGUCCCAGAAGGGUCUUGGGGGUGGCCAGGGUGUCCCCAAGUGGAUCUAGAGGGUCAUUGGAUUAAUCCAGAAGGGUCUGGAGAUGUCCUGGUGGGGUCUUGGGGUGUCCAGGGGGUCUCCCCCUUUUGACUAGCAGACAGGUCCAGCACUGGAGUCAUCCAGAAGGAACUAGAGGUGUCUCAGAAGGGUCCUGGGGUGGCCAGGGUGUCCCCAAAUGGAUCUAGAGGG